AGGUCUGUGUCAAUAUUAGGUCUGGGCAAACGCACGGUAUGACAGGUGUAGGCAGAGGGAUACACACGCGCGCUCUCUCCCCCAUCAUUGAAAGGAAAGGUGAACUGGGGAGUAUUUAGGUAGAUUUCCAGUAUUUAUACUCGCUAGUGGCCACAGAAUUUCAAUUCCCCGAGGAAGAACAGGAACGUGACUCGGCAGUUUAUAGCGAGAGAGGAAAGGCACCUGCAUGGAAGUUGGAAUAAGGUGUGCCGGCUGUGCAGGGGAAACGGGACCCCUGGGCGGAUGCGGCGCUGACGGCUUCAGUAACUUGCCUGAGCCGUCGUACCUGCGACCAUCCCUGUGUUUGCCUCACGCUGAGCCACACGCACAAUACCUGCUGAUAAAGUUUUGUUCGUUCGGCUCGCGUUAAGCAGGUACAGAUUCCCUGCAAUCGGACGCCCAGAAGGAGACUUUACUUCCAAGGACAUCGCGGGAUUUUUCUUCGAUAUAGAUCAAAAUCGUCAUUCCACCCAGACUAAAUGAGACAGUCUUAAUUGAUUGUGAUUAAUUUCUACUGACCCAAAUUAAACUGUACCAACUACAUCUGUAAAGGUUGUUCCGCAUGUAUUUGGCUCUAGGGUAUAAUAAGGCCAUUAUUUUUUUUACAUAACUAGAUCUCUUUCAAAAUAAUAUUUAAAUUAUACGUCUCCACAUUAAUUCAAUGAUCCUACAGAAACCGUGCUAUUAGUAAAUUUAUUUUCUAAUCCAUCAAAAUCUUUUAUCUAAAUGUUUUUGUCUGGUCCAUAAUUUUUUGCUAAAUAAUGUAUAUCAGCUUCACCGUGAGUGUACAAUAAAUCCAUCUUUACUGGCUCUAGCAGAAUGGCGGUAACCAAGGCUUGUAAUGCUGAUUGCAAUGACUUUCAGGUCUCUUUACUGACCGGCACCCUUGUAGCCAUUUUAGCUACGUUAUCGUCCAUGAUCAUGAAGUGAAGAUGAUAAUAGAUCUGAUGUUUUUAAUUACGUUACGCAGGUUUAAAAGCAACAUUAAUAUUGCAGUCCUGGCAGACUGUCUCAUCUGAUGGAGACAAACCUUAGGGCAUAAAGAUGUAAUUCAAAUCAUAAAGUGACAUUAGCGUUGCAGUAUUUGCAUACGUGAAAAACCGGUUUUGUCAGUAUGAAUCAGCAGGUGCUUCUACAGGUGUCCUUUCCGUAAACUGCUUGUUAUAAAAGACUUUCAUCAGUCUUUAAUCAGUCUAUCAUUUUAGAUAUAUUAAAGUGGUAAAGAAAGCAGGAGACCUCUAUUUUGACCAUUCGGGUCUCGCCCCACCUGCCUAAACCUGGCAACAGAUGAACUUAUGUUUAUUUUCCACCCAGUGAGCAGUUAAAUGCCUGGCGCCCUGUAACCUGCUCUUCGUCUAACUGGCAAUAUCACAGUGACUUCCUGCUGCUGAUCCUUACGACCCAGCCACCUAUUAUUUUUCUCUUCUGCAUUUAUCCAGAUGCUAACUUUUGUAAGGUGUCAGUAACAGAAGGGGAACACAGAAUUUCCCCUUCCCUCCCAUUGCGGAAAUCAAAAACAAUGCCAACAGCUCUCACAUUCAUGCUGUUUUUUGUGUUAUACUAUCGUUUAUUACGUUACAUUUAUCAAACCAUACAAUAAAAUUAUUGUAACAUUGGU